rnacentral:rRNA from 1 species
UACGGGAGUGGCAAGCGUUAUCCGGAAUUAUUGGGCGUAAAGCGUCCGCAGGCGGCCUUUCAAGUCUGCUGUUAGAACGUGGAGCUUAACUCCAUCAUGGCAGUGGAAACUGUUGGGCUUGAGUGUGGUAGGGGCAGAGGGAAUUCCCGGUGUAGCGGUGAAAUGCGUAGAUAUCGGGAAGAACACCAGUGGCGAAGGCGCUCUGCUGGGCCAUCACUGACGCUCAUGGACGAAAGCCAGGGGAGCGAAAGGG